rnacentral:rRNA from 1 species
UACGUAGGGGGCGAGCGUUGUCCGGAGUUACUGGGCGUAAAGCGCACGCAGGCGGUUCGCCAAGUUUGGAGUGACAGUUGUCGGCUCAACCGACAAAAGGACUUCAAAAACUGGUGAACUUGAGGACGAGAGAGGAACAUGGAACUCCAGGUGUAGUAGUGAAAUGCGUAGAUAUCUGGAAAGAACACCAAUGGCGAAGGCAAUGUUCUGGCUCGUUUCUGACGCUCAGGUGCGAAAGCCAGGGGAGCGAACGGG